GAUGAACGCUAGCGGCAGGCUUAAUACAUGCAAGUCGUGGGGCAGCAGAUUUGUAGCAAUACAGAUGCUGGCGACCGGCAAACGGGUGCGGAACACGUACAGAACCUUCCUUUGAGCGGGGAAUAGCCCAGAGAAAUUUGGAUUAAUACCCCAUAGUAUAAUGAAGUGGCAUCACUUUAUUAUUAAAGAUUUAUCACUCGAAGAUGGCUGUGCGGCUGAUUAGGUAGUUGGCGGGGUAAAGGCCCACCAAGCCUGCGAUCAGUAACUGGUGUGAGAGCACGACCAGUCACACGGGCACUGAGACACGGGCCCGACUCCUACGGGAGGCAGCAGUAAGGAAUAUUGGUCAAUGGAGGCAACUCUGAACCAGCCAUGCCGCGUGGAGGAUGAAGGUCCUCUGGAUUGUAAACUUCUUUUAUAUGGGACGAAAAAAGGCUUUUCUAAGUCGUCUGACGGUACCAUAUGAAUAAGCACCGGCUAACUCCGUGCCAG
rnacentral:rRNA from 1 species